CCUACGGGAGGCAGCAGUGGGGAAUAUUGCACAAUGGGGGAAACCCUGAUGCAGCAACGCCGCGUGAGUGAUGACGGCCCUCGGGUUGUAAAGCUCUGUCUUCAGGGACGAAAAGGACGGUACCUGAGGAGGAAGCCACGGCUAACUACGUGCCAGCAGCCGCGGUAAUACGUAGGUGGCGAGCGUUGUCCGGAUUUUCUGGGCGUAAAGGGGUCGUAGGCGGCCUUUUAAGUGAGAUGUGAAAUACUCGGGCUCAACUUGAGUGCUGCAUUUCAAACUGGAAGUCUAGAGUGCAGGAGAGGAGAGUGGAAUUCCUGGUGUAGCGGUGAAAUGCGUAGAGAUUAGGAAGAACACCAGUGGCGAAGGCGGUUCUCUGGACUGUAACUGACGCUGAGGCUCGAAAGCGUGGGGAGCGAACAGGAUUAGAUACCCGUGUAGUC
rnacentral:rRNA from 1 species